rnacentral:rRNA from 1 species
AUUGAACGCUGGCGGCAUGCCUUACACAUGCAAGUCGAACGGCAGCACGGGAGCAAUCCUGGUGGCGAGUGGCGAACGGGUGAGUAAAGUAUCGGAACGUGCCCAGUCGUGGGGGAUAACGUAGCGAAAGUUACGCUAAUACCGCAUACGAUCUAUGGAUGAAAGCGGGGGAUCGCAAGACCUCGCGCGAUUGGAGCGGCCGAUAUCAGAUUAGGUAGUUGGUGGGGUAAAGGCUCACCAAGCCGACGAUCUGUAGCUGGUCUGAGAGGACGACCAGCCACACUGGAACUGAGGCACGGCCCAGACUCCUACGGGAGGCAGCAGUGGGGAAUUUUGGACAAUGGGCGAAAGCCUGAUCCAGCCAUGCCGCGUGCAGGAUGAAGGCCUUCGGGUUGUAAACUGCUUUUGUACGGAACGAAAAGGUUUGGCCUAAUAAGCUGAGCUCAUGACGGUACCGUAAGAAUAAGCACCGGCUAACUACGUGCCAGCCGCCGCGGUAA